rnacentral:rRNA from 1 species
AUGGUUUCGAUUCCCAACGUAAACAACACCAUCUUACAAGCAUCAGUAAACAAACCAGUGCGUAACUAUCAGCUCAUUCAUUCUCUCGCUGUGUACAUGCCAAGUCUCUUCGUCAGUAGGCAACAAAUCUCACAGGGCAACAGAUGUGUAGGUUUUCUUUUUUCGAAACAGAGCAGGUGUGUAAGUGAAAAAGAAGAAAAGCUUCCAGGAGACAGCCGGCGACCCAGUCAAGAGGAUAUUAUGUACUCGAAGCAGUUGAGCCCGUCGAACUCCGGCGCAAACCGUGCCGGGCUGGCCUCCCGCUUCCUCUCCGGCCGUGGGCUCCGCUCGACCUUGUCCUCCUGGUGCUUCUUCUCCGUCGCCUGCUUCCCUCCGCCGCUCCGCCAGGACAGACGCAUGGCGUACCCGGCCCCAGCAAUCUCUGCCGGCGACGAGCUGAGGAUGGAGAAAGCAAAGAUCCUGUCCAUGAUCGAGUAG